rnacentral:rRNA from 1 species
GAUGAACGCUAGCUACAGGCUUAACACAUGCAAGUCGAGGGGCAGCAUGGAAGAAGCUUGCUUCUUCUGAUGGCGACCGGCGCACGGGUGCGUAACGCGUAUCAAACCUGCCUCAUACUCGGGGAUAGCCUUGCGAAAGUAAGAUUAAUACCCGAUGUUGUUAUGUUGCCGCAUGGUGAUAUAACCAAAGAUUUAUCGGUAUGAGAUGGUGAUGCGUCCGAUUAGGUAGUAGGCGGGGUAACGGCCCACCUAGCCUUCGAUCGGUAGGGGUUCUGAGAGGAAGGUCCCCCACACUGGAACUGAGACACGGUCCAGACUCCUACGGGAGGCAGCAGUGAGGAAUAUUGGUCAAUGGACGCAAGUCUGGACCAGCCAAGUAGCGUGCAGGAUGACGGCCCUCCGGGUUGUAAACUGCUUUUAGUUGGGAAUAAAAAAGAGGACGUGUCCUCUAUUGUAUGUACCUUCAGAAAAAGGACCGGCUAAUUCCGUGCCAGCAGCCGCGGUAAUACGGAAGGUCCAGGCGUUAUCCGGAUUUAUUGGGUUUAAAGGGAGCGUAGGCGGAUUAUUAAGUCAGUGGUGAAAGACGGUGGCUCAACCAUCGUUAGCCAUUGAAACUGGUAGUCUUGAGUGCAGACAGGGAUGCUGGAACUCGUGGUGUAGCGGUGAAAUGCUUAGAUAUCACGAUGAACUCCGAUCGCGAAGGCAGGUGUCCGGGCUGCAACUGACGCUGAGGCUCGAAAGUGUGGGUAUCAAACAGG